CCUACGGGACGCAGCAGUGGGGAAUAUUGGGCAAUGGGCGCAAGCCUGACCCAGCAACGCCGCGUGAAGGAAGAAGGCUUUCGGGAUGUAAACUUCUAUCCUCAGGGACGAAGCAAAUGACGGUACCUGAGUAAUAAGCCACGGCUAACUACGUGCCAGCAGCCGCGGUAAUACGUAGGUGGCAAGCGUUAUCCGGAUUUACUGGGUGUAAAGGGCGCGUAGGCGGCCAGACAAGUCUGAAGUGAAAACCACGGGCUCAACCU
rnacentral:rRNA from 1 species